rnacentral:misc_RNA from 1 species
ACACCUCAACUCUCAUGGUUUUCCAUGAUGAGCUUGGACUUUGGGGGUUUUGCUGGCCCAUGUGGUUGGCUCCUCUCAAAUAAAUCAGCUUGCCAGCGUUUGGCGGCUUCACGAGUGUGAUAACUGUCUACGCUUGUGGUUGUCCACCAGGUGACCUUCAGUGAUGGAGGUUUGCUGGAGCUUACAAAUGUCUCUCCUCAGCAGAGACAGCUUUUCGAAU